CCUCACUCCACAGCAAGUUACAGUUGUUGGAUUUCUGCUAUUAUAUCUAUAAACUGCUGCAAGGUGGUGAAAAAACCUUCACUAGGCCUGAGUGAAGCAGAUGUUCUGUUGAUCCUUCUGGAUGAGCUGUUGAUUGCAGGGGCAAAUGGAUCUAGAGCGCUUCCAGUAGUAAUUGCACAGAAGAGGUUAUAAGCAAGCUGAGUUUGAAGGAGGGUCCAGGAAAUCGGCAUCCUAAAGGAG